rnacentral:lncRNA from 1 species
UCUCACACCCCUAAUACACCACGGUUCGCCACCGUCCUCCACCGUCUGGCGCCGAUCGAAAAUCGCCUCCACCAGCGGCUAGUCUCCGAUGGCCACCAAAAUUUUACCAUCGCCUCUCCUUCACCUCCGCAUUCCAUAUCUACCCACAGUUUCCUUUAAGUCCCACUCAAACGGCUCAAAUAAACGAAACUCUAGUCACCGCCUCCGCUGUGCACGGCGGCACCACCUCCAAACCUCCCCAAAAUAAUACCCUAAGGUGUCCUCACCUUCUUCUUCCCAAAUCCAAAACCAAUUUCCCUCGAAUCCAACCAUAAUUAUGCAAAUUUUAGAUCUAGGGUUUUAUUCAAGACGAGUCAAAUUUUCAAGGCUGGCCAAUGUUCGAUUGGGGUUCCUAAGAAUAUAUGCUUGUUAUUAGCAAGAACAAGCAUGUAACAUUAUUUAGAGACUCGAUUCAGGGUCAGUCCAAACUAUAACCUAAACAGCAGGUUUCUCAAUCUUUUUCUUUCUCUUUGCAUAAAUAAAUAUGUCUUUAAUGCAUAUUUUAUGUUCUUUCAUUUCCAGUAUUUCUUUUAUUUUUGUUUGAGUUAGAGUUCUUCGAUUUGGGUCUCUGAUUUUAGUGUAUCGCAGUCAUAUGGUUUAGUUCUUAUUUGAUUGUGUGUUUGUUUCGAUUGCAUGAUCCCUGAUUGUUUCUGUUAAUUUGACUUUAGUUUCAAUUUUGUUUGUUUGCUGUUAAUUGUUAGUUCACUGAUUGUCUUAGGUUAUAGUAUUGAUUAGAAUUGAUUUGAUUAGUUAGAUUGAUUAUUUCAAUUUUAGGAAUUGUUUGGAUAAAGAAGAAUACUCCCAGCCCUUGAUUGACUAACCAUGGUUAGUUGUGACCAAGAUUAACAGGGCUGGGAGUUAGUUUGACUAGGUUAGUAAUUUAGGGUUGAAUUCUAGGGUAGUGUAGGUAUUUCAAAAUAGAGAAUCGUAUAGUAACUGAAAAUGGAACUCCCUAGGACCUUCUAGAUGGGUUUUAAUUAGAAUUUCAAGAAGUUAGUAGUAUAACUUGACUUAUAAGCCAAAAUUCUAGGGACUAAACAGUUGAAAAUUGAAAAUUAAAUAAGGGACUAAGGGUGUAAAAUAAAAUCUGAAAGUUACCUUAGUUUUUAUCAAUGAAAGGGCAGUCUACCCUGCCUUGAAAGCUAACUUUUAGAGAUCCAAAAUUUGAAAUUCAAAAAUCUGAAGUUUAGAACAUUCAGAUCUGGAAAAAAUUCAAAAGAAGUUUUGAGAGCUAGAAGUCCAAAAAAUUCAAAGCUCUUAGAUCCUGAAAUCUGCAAAUCCAAAAAACCAAAAAAUAUCUUAAAAUUUGAAAGUUUGAGAGGGAAACUGAAAAGAAAAAACUACUGCAAAUCUGAGAGUUUAUUGACCAUUUUAGAGUUUAGACCUUCAAUUUAUUUGCAUUCCGAAUUCUAAAUUCCGGUGGUAGAGUUUCAGAAGUCCUGGUGUUAUUUCAAGCUCUAUUCAAUCUGUUUUUGGUUGUCUGCUGGUUUUGUCCCUUUGCGAUUAACUUCUGGGCUGUUUUGAUGUUAUUCUUUAGGUUUCAAAACUGAUCUAUUUAUUGUUGUUCGUUGUUGCCUAGCUGACCUUCAUUUCCCAUUUUUCUAUUCACAUUCCAAGAAUAUUAUUGGUCUCCGGUGAUGUAUGAAGCUUGAACUAAGUGUAUUAUCAAGUUUGAAGAUAAUUGUUAUUUGAUUCCCCAUGAAUUCCUACUAUUUCUGCUUUAAUUGUGAUGCUUAUCAUAGUUAAGACAUUGCUUUGUAAUAACUGGAUGUUUGGACUAUUAUUUUUAGACUUAUGUGAGUAUCCAGCAGUAAUGUUAGCUGUAGUACAGUUAAUUCAUAUUUUUCUAUCAUGUUACUUUGAGAAUUAGAUUUUGAAUAAGAUGUUGGUCCGAAAUUGAAUCCAGCAAAUCAUUUGAGUUGUGAGCAUGUGUUUAAAUGUGCUGAUUACUUUAGUUUGCUCGUCAGGUGCCUGUUGCAAAAGUAAAAUCCAAAAGGGCUCACAUACAACUCAAAAUAUCAGAAUACUUUGCAUUCACAUUGGACUUCAUAUUUGUUUAAG